GCUUACCAGUGGCGACAAUGCUGUGACGAAAGUUAGAAACACGACACACGUGGCCAGAGCUUGUGCCAUUCCACGAUUCUCGAAUACGUGCACCGCAAAAUCUCGAAGACACUGUGGCACUGUCUAAAGAAACAGAAAUUUUUGACAACCUCCUCGGCAGUGCAUUGAUCCGACAAGGAAGUGAAUCCACAAAUGUCGGCGAACAGAAUGCUGGAAAACGAUCACCAAGAUGUAUUCUUCUCGGUUAUGUUCCGAGGGCUGCCGCUGUAAUUUCAGAUUCUACACGAGCUGGCGUAACAAGAGAAACCAAAGUUGCGCGGGAUAACGAUCAUCUUUGAAUAUUUCAUACCCUUGAUGGAAAUUCUAAGAUAAAUUGCGAGAUGAAAAGAUCAUGAUGGUGGAAUGAAAUAUAGCUCGUUCUAUCGGGUCUAACGGUGGAGAUCGAUGGAUAAAAAUUGUGUAUUCAGGGAGCGAAAAAAUUUUAUGAAUUUAUGUCGCCGAUGUCGCGUGAAAAUUGAAAGGUCGACGACAUGUGAGUGGAACGAGGAAGAAUUGGUCAAACUUUGAAAUACAGGCAUAUCGAAGUAAUAUUAUUGGAGGAAUUUACUAAAGCAAUGGAACUUCAAUGGACAGAAAGUGAUUAAUGGAGGAAUUGGUCAGAUCCUUGGAAUAAUGUUCAAUUUAUGAAAGAUAUUAAAAUUAUUAAAGAGAUCCUGCGAAGAAUGAUUAAUGGACUUUUAAUGAAUGAAAAUUGAUUAUAUCACAGCAAUUGAUUAGAUCUUAAAUCCAAUUUAUAUAUCAAAACGUUACUAUUAGAGGUAAAUGAAUAAGUGUAGAAAUUGGAAUAUAACAUUGCUCAAUUUAAAAUUAAUUUAAUUAUUAAAAUUAUUGAAGAGACUUUUCAAGGAAUAAGUGCAAAAAUUGAUCAGACUUGAAUGUGACUCAACUUAUGAGAUAUAUUGAAACAUUAUUAGAAGGAUAAUAUUGGUACAGGAAUUGGUCAGACUUGGAAUACUGCUUAAUUUAUGAGAGAUAUUAAAACUAUUAAAGAAAUUCUUUAAUGGAUAAAAAAUAAUUAGUGCAGGAAUUGAUAUACAGAUCAACAAAUGAAAUGCAAUAUAUUAAUAGAAAGAUUUUCCAGAUCUCAGAAAAUAAUGGAUAAAAAUAUUACUGGAGAGACUUUCUAACGAACUAGGUGAAGUUUUACAAAAUACUGGAAUUCAUGACAACUUACUGCCCCACUAACAAGCAGUCAUAGACGAAUGGAGUGGAAGAUAAUACUUCACCUAGUCUCAUAUUGUUGAGGGAUUAAGGGCAAUAAGUUCAAAAAUACUUAAGGUUUCUAUACUGGACGCGAACGCGACAAUAAAGUUUCUCCAUUUUACUUCCAUACCAAGAUUACUUUUCAUAUGAAAUUGAAAUAUAUAUAUAUAUAUAUAAUAACACGAUAGUAGAGAGUCUAAUCAAAUUCUCAACUUUCAUCUGUAGUAAUAUAUAUUAAUACAUAUUAAUACUAUGUGUACAUUGGCAGAAGUUUAAUAGAAAUGAAAUUUUGUAAAAGUAAAAUAUAAACAAUGAAAGAAUAUCGAUAAAGGAUUAGUGAACUAUUUAAAGUUUAGUAUAAGUUUAAUAAAGUUUAGAAUUUUACAUUAAAUGAAGAAAUUUGAUGAAAGUGCAUAUCUCCUAUCUCGAUUUGAUUAAUCGACCAGAUUAUUUUUAGCGACUAGCUUCCAUUAAGAACGGUGGAAGUUUGUUAAAGAUAGCGAGUUAUCGGGAGCAUCGCUUAUAAUUCCAGCCAACAUUCUACCCGUGACCUGGCCCAUUGUGCACUUUAAUCAGGUAUCUGUGACCUGCUGCGAUAACGUUAGACCAAUGUCCAGGUUCUUGUAUUUAUCAACAGAUCCUGCCUCUCUAUUCUCCUUAUAUAUCUGGUUGAAUACUCUCUUAACUCGACAACCAUCAUUUUCAUUCUCAAUUCUUUAACACUUUUUCUCAUUCUUUUCUAUCGCGGAUUUAAAUGAUUUUUCUUAGACACGUUUAACUUUCGAGUCAAGUAUUAUUAAAAAAUUCGUGGAAUAUGCGAUACUAGUAUUAACAAUAAUUUUUUCCAAAUAUUUCGAAAACUAAAGUUAAUCGAUUAUAUAUAUUAAGAUCUUCUACAUUUAAAGAUUAUCAAAAUAGAAGUAUCGACAGUUUCACCGUGUAUUAUCGUAUCAAUUAUACGAUGAGAAAAAUUCAUAAAAGUUUGUAACUAUAUUUUCAUCAAUUUUUCGUCAGCUCGAUAGAGAUAGAGAACUAGAGAGAUCUAGGGACUUUGGGUCGCAGCAGUUGUUAAAUAGAAAAUUUGUUGGACCGUAACGAAAACCCUACGGCUAUUUGCGAAACCUCGAUUCGAUAUCUAUCUGCAUUUGAUGUUUUCCCAUUGCCAAAAUUUCGACGAUGCACGCCUAAAAUUUUUAUAAAUCAAGAAAUAUCUUUAUUCCCAAAUAUUCUUAAAUUUAUCAUCGGUCGAUAUUCAAAUAUUGUAUGUGUAUUUUCGUGACUCCACUCUAGAUGAUUAUUUUGGAAAUUAUUCAUCAAAAUAAUUUUGGAGCAACUUAAUAUUGCGUUGACAUAAUUUUGAAUUAUACGAUCGACUAUAUGGAUAUGGAGUACAUAUAUGUGUUAUAAUAAUUAGGGAGAAAAUUGCAGAGACAGUUUGCUAUACAUUGUCCAUUAUAUUAAUAAACAAUUGGGAGAGUGCAUUAAUUAUCGACCUACAUGUGCAAAAGGUUUAAUGAUCAAAAUUUGGUUAGGUACUCUCUAUCGAACUCAGUCUUAAAUACAUUAGUGAUAACUAGUCGAUUUUCCAACUUGGUAAUUUCAAUGUUUCUAGAUACUAGAUUAUCAAACUAUAUUAAAGAUUAAUUAAUAGCAAGAUUAAAUAAAGAUACUUGCACGAUUUACGUAUCUUUUGAAUCAAGUAAUUUUGUUUUUAAUUUUAAAGUUUAAAAUUUUAAAGCUAGGAAAUUAUUUCUCCAAUCUGUUUUGCAAAUGUUUAUGUCAAAAUUUGAAAAUUUUUAAUACGAAUAAACCGUGGGAAAAU